rnacentral:rRNA from 1 species
GAUGAACGCUGGCGGCGUGCCUAAUACAUGCAAGUCGAGCGAACAGACGCGGAGCUUGCUCCUCUGACGUUAGCGGCGGACGGGUGUGUAACACGUGGAUACCCUACCUAUCAGACUGGGAUCAUUUCGGGAAACCGGCGCUAAUCCCGUAUAAUCUAUUGAACCGCAUGGUUCAAUAGUGAAAGUCGGUUUUGCUGUCACUUAUAGAUGGAUCGCGGCUGCAUUAGCUAGUUGGUAAGGUAACGGCUUACCAAGGCAACGAUGCGUAGCCGAGCUGAGAGGGGGGUCGGCCACACUGGAACGUAGACGCGGUCCAGACGCCUACGGGAGGCAGCAGUAGGGAAUCGUCCGCAAUGGGCGAAAGCUUGACAGAGCAACGCCGCGUGAGUGAUGAAGGUCUUCGGAUCGUAAAACUCUGUUAUUAGGGAAGAACAAAUUUGUAAGUAACUAUGCACGUCUUGACGGUACCUAAUCAGAAAGCCACGGCUAACUACGUG